AUGUAUAGUUGUAGUAGUAGGACUUUCCUCCACAGUAAACCAGAUCUGAGGUCUUCUUUCUUGCUUCGUGGGAUCUUUGUUUUGGCCAUGCUGACUGGAAUAAAGGUCACCGGAGCUGACCAUAUGCCUGGAUCUGAUGCUCUUCCCCUAAAUAAAGGUGUGGAUGAAGGUUAUGGUGUGCUUGAUUCAGAUUUUUCUUCUUCCCGAGUCGCUCUUGUCUUCAUGGAGAAGAGAAGAGAGGCAGAGGAGGUGAAGAAUGCCUGGAUCUGGCGUUGUAUGUCGUGUAUCUCCCUGAUGUGGAAAAGGAUCUUCCGCUCAUUUUCGAUUUCGGAUGCCGCCGUGGUGGUGGAUAAGGAGAAGGGGAGGAGCAGAGAGAUGGAAACAACAGAUGGGGUGAGAGCUCACCAUCGAUGGUGCUUCAGGCAAGGCUACGGCGCCCAUGAUUGGCAGCCGGCCUUUCUCACCACGCCAUCGAUUCUUCUGGCCGAAAGGCGGCCAUGGUUAUUCCUCCCGGCCUCGAUGCCAAAGGGGAGGCAGGUCAGUUUCUGUUCGGAGUCCAUGAGUUCCUUCUUCAGUGAGCUUGGUUGCCGGAGGCGAAGCCAUGGAGAUUGCGGCGACCCAAGUGGUUUCGUCCCCGGUGUCGUCGUGGUUGAAUCCGAUAGGAAACUGUGUUGGACCCGAUUGCUUUUUUCAUUCUCUGUAUGGGGUCCUAUUUACAAAAGUCAGGGAUUGUUCUGUAGUUUCUCUUUUAUGUUGGGUCCUUUUGUAAUAUGUACUGCAAUGCCUAUCUAA
rnacentral:rRNA from 1 species